rnacentral:rRNA from 1 species
AACGAACGCUGGCGGCAGGCCUAACACAUGCAAGUCGAGGGGUAACGGAAGUAGCUUGCUACUAGACGACGACCGGCGCACGGGUGAGUAACGCGUAUGUAACCUACCUCUAACAGGAGAAUAGCCCUAAGAAAUUGGGAUUAAUGCUCCAUAACAUUAUUAAUCUGCAUGGAUUAAUAAUUAAAGUUCCGGCGGUUAGAGAUGGACAUGCGUAGUAUUAGAUAGUUGGUGAGGUAACGGCUCACCAAGUCUGCGAUACUUAGGGGUUCUGAGAGGAUUGUCCCCCACACUGGUACUGAGACACGGACCAGACUCCUACGGGAGGCAGCAGUGAGGAAUAUUGGUCAAUGGACGCAAGUCUGAACCAGCCAUGUCGCGUGCAGGAUGACUGCCCUAUGGGUUNUAACUGCUUUUUANAUAGGAGAAACCCUGGUACGUGUACUAGGCUGACGGUACUAUAUGAAUAAGGAUCGG